CGAGAGGACCGGAGUGAACGCACCACUGGUGUACGGGUUGUGAUGCCAAUUGCAUUGCCCGGUAGCUAAGUGCGGAAGAGAUAACCGCUGAAAGCAUCUAAGCGGGAAACUUGCCUCGAGAUGAGUCUUCCCUGGACACUAGAUAUCCCUGAAGGGCCGUUGAAGACGACGACGUAGAUAGGCUGGGUGUGUAAGCGUAGCGAUACGUUGAGCUGACCAGUACUAAUGACCCGAGAGGCUUAACCUUACAACACCGAAGGUGUUU
rnacentral:rRNA from 1 species